CGCAAGACAUAGUUGAUUAUAUUAUAUAUUCAUAUUUAUAUCCAUAACUUCUUCCAUCUUUGAAGUCGAUCUUGUAUACUCCAAUCCUUCUAAGACAAGUCCGAGAUGAUGGAGUUGAAAACGGCGCUGACAUCGGCUUUUCGGCGAUAACUAGUUAGUUAUAGAGGAUGUGGUCCCAAUCAACAACCUUGGAAGUCCGAUGCCUGUUCACCUAGGUACCGGUACCGAUCACAGAAAGACAAACAGCCCAACUGAUCUGGGGCGGAUAUAUAAGAUACAAACAAUAGACGUCCACUGGUUGAUUCUUCGAACCGACAUCUCCAUCUUUUCGCGAUAUAGCUGGGACAUGUUAAAAGAUCGGCUUUUCGGAGGAGAGACGGCACAAGAGUGUUAUCUACGAGAGCCUUGGGUUAUUUCCAGCUGAUAUGUCCGAGAAAGAUGAGAUGAAUAUCACAACUAGAGACUUGUCUCUAUUGACGCCGGACGAUGUAUUAACAAAUAUCAUUUGGAUUGAACUGAAAAUGUACCUAGAUAUAGCUAUACAGAUCGCGCAGCCACUUGACUAAUGGAAAAU
rnacentral:lncRNA from 1 species